rnacentral:rRNA from 1 species
GACGAACCGAGCGAACGUUAUUCGGAAUCACUGGGCUUAAAGGGCUCGUAGGCGGCCAACUAAGUCGGACGUGAAAUCCCUCAGCUUAACUGGGGAACUGCGUCCGAUACUGGAUGGCUUGGAUUUGGGAGAGGGAUGCGGAAUUCCAGGUGUAGCGGUGAAAUGCGUAGAUAUCUGGAGGAACACCGGUGGCGAAGGCGGCAUCCUGGACCAACAUUGACGCUGAGGAGCGAAAGCUAGGGGAGCAAACGGG